CUCGACAUCCACACCGAAAGCCACCUCCAGCCGCUUCUUUUGACUUCCAACAAAGUCACGCCAGAGCACAGUCGACGCCCGACAAAGUUACGCCCAGCUGCUACAAUCCACGUCGAAAGAAGUGACCGCAAAGCACUUCUGGCCUGCAUCAUCAGAUUGACAUAACACUAUGGCAUACAAGAAGUUGAGCGACUUAACUACAAGGGGACAAAAUUGGAACAUUCAAGUGAAAGUAAUGAGAAUGUGGGAUUCGAUCAAUCCUACGACCGAUGAGCUUAUUAGCCUAGAUAUGAUACUAAUGGAUGAGCAGCAGGGUGAAAUAAUCCAUGUUACUAUCUGGAAGAAUCUUAUAGACGCUUUUAGAUCAAAGAUCAAUGAAAAAUCUAUUUAUGCAUUCAGCAAUUUUAAGGUCGUGGAAUCCACAAAAUAUAGGCCAGUGAGCAAUGACAUUAAAAUAUUUUUUGCAUACAAUACAAAGGUAAAGGAGAUAAAAGAAUCUUCAGAAGUUUUCCCAGAUUAUUGCUUCGAGUUUGCUACCAUCGAGACACUAGAAGAAAGGGCAGAAAAAGAUACACAAUGCUCAGAUGUCAUUGGACUACUAACACAAAUGAAGCCUGUGGAGACAAGAAUAACAAAGAAGAACCAACAACCUUCAUAUAUCCGCGAGAUUGAAAUCCUAAUGCCAGA